GUGGGUAGUUUGACUGGGGCGGUCUCCUCCUAAAGAGUAACGGAGGAGCACGAAGGUUGGCUAAUCCUGGUCGGACAUCAGGAGGUUAGUGCAAUGGCAUAAGCCAGCUUGACUGCGAGCGUGACGGCGCGAGCAGGUGCGAAAGCAGGUCAUAGUGAUCCGGUGGUUCUGAAUGGAAGGGCCAUCGCUCAACGGAUAAAAGGUACUCCGGGGAUAACAGGCUGAUACCGCCCAAGAGUUCAUAUCGACGGCGGUGUUUGGCACCUCGAUGUCGGCUCAUCACAUCCUGGGGCUGAAGUAGGUCCCAAGGGUAUGGCUGUUCGCCAUUUAAAGUGGUACGCGAGCUGGGUUUAGAACGUCGUGAGACAGUUCGGUCCCUAUCUGCCGUGGGCGCUGGAGAACUGAGGGGGGCUGCUCCUAGUACGAGAGGACCGGAGUGGACGCAUCACUGGUGUUCGGGUUGUCAUGCCAAUGGCACUGCCCGGUAGCUAAAUGCGGAAGAGAUAAGUGCUGAAAGCAUCUAAGCACGAAACUUGCCCCGAGAUGAGUUCUCCCUGAGACUUAGAGUCUCCUGAAGGAACGUUGAAGACGACGACGUUGAUAGGCCGGGUGUGUAAGCGCAGCGAUGCGUUGAGCUAACCGGUACUAAUGAACCGUGAGGCUUAACCUUACAAC
rnacentral:rRNA from 10 species